rnacentral:rRNA from 1 species
UGGUGGGGUGACUUGUCUGGUUAAUUUCGAUAACGAACGAGAUCCGAACUGUUUAUUUGCGUGUGCUUAUAAUUUCGCAGGCGACAUGUUUCUAAAUGGACCAUCAGAUAAAUCUGAAGGAAGUGACGGGCUAAAUCA